UAUGUAGGGGGCAAGCGUUGUCCGGAUUUAUUGGGCGUAAAGAGCGUGUAGGCGGCCAGGUAGGUCUGCUGUGAAAACUCGAGGCUUAACCUCGAGCUGUCGGCGGAAACCAUCUGGCUAGCGUCCGGAAGAGGAGAAUGGAAUUCCCGGUGUAGCGGUGAAAUGCGCAGAUAUCAGGAGGAACACCAAUUGCGAAGGCAGCUCGCUGGGACGUAACUGACGCUGAGACGCGAAAGCGUGGGGAGCAAACAGG
rnacentral:rRNA from 1 species